GUGAUGUAAUGCCAGGAAGAAAGUGUGUCUUGCUGUUUGCUGGUUCCUGUUUUACUGUUUGCAGCCACCAUGAACUGCGGCCCAGCCAUGCCCGCCUGCCUUGGGGCCAACUGAGUGUGGACUGAAACCUCUGAAACUGAACAGGCCAGCAAGCCCGUCCCACUUGAGCAAAUGUGGAAAUGAAAGUACGGAGACUCAGGAAACCUUUCUUCAGAACAGUUUUCUCCGCCCGUUCUCCCCUGGCCCCAGCCAGCACACCCUCACCUGGCCUUGCUGGCUCUGGUGGUUUAAACCUGUAAUAAAGGCUGCCUUCAGAUCAA